rnacentral:misc_RNA from 1 species
GUCAGCGGCAUCUCUAUCAUCAUGGCGGACAUAGAAUGGCCAUGGCAAUACCAGUUUCCUCCUUUCUUCACAAUUCAGCCCAACAUUGAAACUCGGAAGAAACAAAUUGAAGCUUGGUGUUCCCUUGUCUUGUCCUACACCCGCCAGCAGAAAACCUACAGCAUUGACGUGAGAGAGUCACAGAACUCGCCACUGUUUAACAACAAAGCCAUCAACCGCAAGCUGUCUAUGGAUUGUAUCCUGACUGUGCUGGAAGAACUUAGAAAAACAGGACACUUGGAAUGGACCGAUAACAAGACAAAGAAACAAUGUCUUGUAAUGUGGAGAACACCAGAGGAAUGGGGAAAGCUUAUAUACAGCUGGAUCUGUAGUCGCAGUAUGAACAACACGGUGUGUACACUUUUUGAACUGACUGAAGGAGAGGAAUCUGAAGGAACUGAGUUCCAUGGACUGGAGAAUUGGUUACUUCUACGCGCCCUCAAAUCACUGGAAAGUCAAGAACUUGCUGAACUGAUGUCGUUUGAUGGCAGCGACGGUGUCAAGUUUUUCUGAGAUCAGACAUGUCAUAGACUUUCGGCCCGAGCAGGGAUCACAAAUCGGACAUGUGAAAAACAUUUUUCAGCAGAAUGUGAUCAAUCUGGAACAUGUGAAAUUGUUUUAUUUUCAGAAAAUAUUAUUUGUAAAUCGAAAGGAAGUUUUAUUACCGGGCCGUAAUGGAGAGGAUAUGAAGAUUCUACCUGCAGAGUUUUUGUACUCCCUUUGUUGGGUGUUUUAUUGAAAUAUAAAAGCAAGACUCUCUCAUUGUGAUAAUGAAGUUGCAAUGGGAAUGAAACAGUGAUCCGGAAACAAGAGUUCUGACGUCCUAGUUUACAACUGACGUCCAAAGGUUUAUAAACUGUUAUGUAGAGCAGAUGUGAAUAUUAGUCUACACAAAUUAAGAAAUCAGUAACAUGUAAGAAAGUUAAACACAUUGUACAAUCUCAUAGAAUUUGUAUUUGUGUUUAUAAUACACAUAUCUACAGUAUUGUGUUCAUGAUGAUCUGCAAUGAAUACACCCGUCAUAAUUUGUGUAUGAUGUCAUGCGCUAACACUUACUGUGACGUCAUAACCAAGACAAUAAAUAUGACGUAAUGACAUUGUGACAUUGCAUUAAAGACAAUAUAAAUGAAUUCAAAAUAACAACAUUGAUACAAGUAUAUUAGGAUAAGAGAAAAAGUGCUUUUUACAAACAUUAACAUUCAAACCUGUAUCAAGAGACCACUGAUAGGAAGUCCAUAAAGUGGUAUCUUAAUGCAAGUUACAGUCAUAAUGAAAUCACUAAAGAGGAACCUGAAAAGUGGCCACCAAAUACAGGUGGUCUCUUCAUACAGGUGGUCUCUUCAUACAGGUGGCCUCUUAAUGCAGGUGCCUCUUAAUGCAGGUGGUCUCUUCAUACAGGUGGCUUCUUCAUGCAGGUGGCCUCUUCAUACAGGUGGCCUCUUAAUGCAGGUGGCCUCUUAAUGCAGGUGGUCUCUUCAUGCAGGUGGCCUCUUAAUGCAGGUGGCCUCUUAAUGCAGGUGGUCUCUUCAUGCAGGUGGCCUCUUA